rnacentral:misc_RNA from 1 species
UCCGAGUUGACCCCGGCAGUCUCCUACGAGUCCCCGGCAUAACCCGCUGGCAAUUAACGACAAGGGUUGCGCUCGUUGCGGGACUUAACCCAACAUCUCACGACACGAGCUGACGACAGCCAUGCAGCACCUGUGUUACGGUCCCCUUUCGGGCACUCUCCCAUCUCUGGGAGAUUCCGUACAAGUCAAGGGUAGGUAAGGUUUUUCGCGUUGCAUCGAAUUAAUCCACAUAAUCCACCGCUUGUGCGGGUCCCCGUCAAUUCCUUUGAGUUUUAGCCUUGCGGCCGUACUCCCCAGGCGGGGUGCUUAAUGCGUUAGCUUCGGCACGGACGGGGUUGAUAUCCGCCCACACCUAGCACCCAACGUUUACGGCUAGGACUAC